rnacentral:miRNA from 1 species
GCUCACUUCUCUCUCUGUCAGU